GACGAACGCUGGCGGCGUGCUUAACACAUGCAAGUCGAACGGAAAGGCCCUGCUUGCAGGGUACUCGAGUGGCGAACGGGUGAGUAACACGUGGGUGAUCUGCCCUGCACUUCGGGAUAAGCCUGGGAAACUGGGUCUAAUACCGGAUAGGAGCCAUUUUUAGUGUGAUGGUUGGAAAGUUUUUUCGGUGUAGGGUGAGCUCGCGGCCUAUCAGCUUGUUGGUGGGGUAAUGGCCUACCAAGGCGGCGACGGGUAGCCGGCCUGAGAGGGUGGACGGCGACAUUGGGACUGAGGUACGGCCCAGACUCCUACGGGAGGCAGCAGUGGGGAAUAUUGCACAAUGGGCGCAAGCCUGAUGCAGCGACGCCGCGUGGGGGAUGACGGCCUUCGGGUUGUAAACUCAUUUCGCUAGGGACGAAGCUUUUUGUGACGGUACCUAGAUAAGAAGCACCGGCUAACUACGUG
rnacentral:rRNA from 1 species